GACGAACGCUGGCGGCGUGCCUAAUACAUGCAAGUCGAACGCAGUGGGGACGGGUGAGUAACACGUGGGUAACCUCCCAUCAGAGGGGAUAACACUUGGAAACAGGUGCUUAACUGCAACUGAUGGAUGUACUCGCGGUGCAUUAGCUAGUGGGUGAGGUAACGGCUCACCAAGGCCACGAUGCAUAGCCGGUCUGAGAGGAUGAUCGGCCACACUGGGACUGAGACACGGCCCAGACUCCUACGGGAGGCAGCAGUAGGGAAUAUUCGACAAUGGACGAAAGUCUGACCGAGCAACGCCGCGUGAAUGAAGAAGGUUUUCGGGUCGUAAAGCUCUGUUGUUAGAGAAGCGGUAUCUAACCAAAAAGCCACGGCUAACUACGUGCCAGCAGCCGCGGUAAUAC
rnacentral:rRNA from 1 species